GAGCGUGUGCAUUACCUCUAUACGGGUGUGUGAGGCUUAAACCUAGAACCUUUCUUAGAAUUUUCUUAAGUUCUCGGUUUAGUUCCGAAUUUCUUUUAAUGUAUAUUUGGACCUCGUAGGUCCAUAAUAAAGAUAAUAUGAUCUUGUUUGAUCGAUUUUAAUUUAGAAUGAAAUUUUAUGACCCGUAUUUUCUGAAAAUGCCCUG
rnacentral:lncRNA from 1 species